GAUGAACGCUAGCGGCAGGCCUAAUACAUGCAAGUCGGACGGGAUCCAUCGGAGAGCUUGCUCGAAGAUGGUGAGAGUGGCGCACGGGUGCGUAACGCGUGAGCAACCUACCUCUAUCAGGGGGAUAGCCUCUCGAAAGAGAGAUUAACACCGCAUAAUAUAAUCUUCCGGCAUCGUUAGAUUAUUAAAUAUUUAUAGGAUAGAGAUGGGCUCGCGUGACAUUAGCUAGUUGGUAAGGUAACGGCUUACCAAGGCGACGAUGUAUAGGGGCUGUGAGAGGAGAAUCCCCCACACUGGUACAGAGACACGGACCAGACUGCUACGGGAGGCAGCAGUAAGGAAUAUUGGUCAAUGGGCGGAAGCCUGAACCAGCCAUGCCGCGUGCAGGACGACUGCCCUAUGGGUUGUAAACUGCUUUUGUCCAGGAAUAAACCUAAAUACGUGUAUUUAGCUGAAUGUACUGGAAGAAUAAGGAUCGGCUAACUCCGUGCCAGCAGCCGCGGUAACAC
rnacentral:rRNA from 1 species